AACAAACGCUGGCGGCGUGCCUAAUACAUGCAAGUCGAACGGGGAAAGCUUUCGGGUGAGUACUAGUGGCGCACGGGUGAGGAACGCGUGGAUAAUCUGCCUUAGAGUGGGGGAUAACUAGUCGAAGGAUUAGCUAAUACCGCAUAAGCCCACAGGAGCUGCGGCUCAAGGGGUCAAAGGUUUUUCGCUCUAAGAUGAGUCCGCGUAAGAUUAGCUAGUUGGUGAGGUAACGGCUCACCAAGGCGACGAUCUUUAACUGGUCUGAGAGGAUGAUCAGUCACACUGGAACUGGGACACGGUCCAGACUCCUACGGGAGGCAGCAGUAGGGAAUAUUGCACAAUGGAGGAAACUCUGAUGCAGCGACGCCGCGUGAGUGAUGAAGGCCUUCGGGUCGUAAAGCUCUGUCGCAGGGGAAUAACACAAUGAAUGUACCCUGUAAGAAAGGAUCGGCUAACUUCGUGCCAGCAGCCGCCGUAACAC
rnacentral:rRNA from 1 species